CUACGGGUUGCACCAGUGGGGAAUAUUGGACAAUGGGGGAAACCCUGAUCCAGCAAUGCCGCGUGUGUGAAGAAGGCCUUAGGGUUGUAAAGCACUUUCAGUAGUGAGGAAAAGUUUAAGGCUAAUACCCUUGAACCCUGACGUUAACUACAGAAGAAGCACCGGCUAACUUCGUGCCAGCAGCCGCGGUAAUACGAAGUGUGCAAGCGUUAAUCGGAUUUACUGGGCGUAAAGCGCGCGUAGGCGGUUUGAUAAUUCGGAUGUGAAAGCCCCGGGCUCAACCUGGGAAUUGCAUUCGAUACUGUCAGGCUAGAGUAUGGUAGAGGGAAGUGGAAUUCGACAUGUAGCGGUGAAAUGCGUAGAUAUGUGGAGGAACACCAGUGGCGAAGGCGACUUCCUGGCCCAAUACUGACGCUGAGGUGCGAAAGCGUGGGGAGCAAACAGGAUUAGAUACCCGCGUAGUC
rnacentral:rRNA from 1 species